rnacentral:rRNA from 1 species
CUCCUUGACGUUAGCGGCGGACGGGUGAGUAACACGUGGGUAACCUACCUAUAAGACUGGGAUAACUUCGGGAAACCGGAGCUAAUACCGGAUAAUAUUUCGAACCGCAUGGUUCGAUAGUGAAAGGUGGUUUUGCUAUCACUUAUAGAUGGACCCGCGCCGUAUUAGCUAGUUGGUAAGGUAACGGCUUACCAAGGCGACGAUACGUAGCCGACCUGAGAGGGUGAUCGGCCACACUGGAACUGAGACACGGUCCAGACUCCUACGGGAGGCAGCAGCG